CGACAACUUACCAAAAAAUUGGAAGGUUAUUUGGGGAAAAUAUACAAAAAUGGAAAUAUAGAAAUUAAUCUGUAUGUUUUUAUUGGGGGUGGGUAUACCUGGGAACACAGACAACGGCUUGUCAAACAAUUAGCCUAAGGCAUACAUCAGUCAACAAUUUGGUGAGGACUGACAACACUCCAGCAGGUACCAAACCACAAAACGAACAUGGCUGUAGCAAAUGGUGUCAUUCUGUCAAUGUGCAGGUACAUGGCACAUAAGUUGUUGUAUACUCUGGUUGUGAACCCAAGUGAAUCUGAAGUGAGGAUAUAUACAGCUAUACAAAGUUCAAGCAAGUUGUUGAAUGUGUGCGUUUUGGAACCUUCUAAGAUUCAUAAAGUUAUUACGAUUUGUGUAAUGCUGCAUAACUGUGCUAGGAAGCUCCAUCUGAUUCAGAGAAAUUCAAUGACAGUGAUCCAGGUUUUGUUUUGUUACAAGAUGAUAACUUUGAUAUGAAAGAGAUUUCAACCCAAUGGUUCAUGAUGUUGAUAGCAGAGCUGUUAUUUACUAAAGUAGUGUCGGAAAUAGAAUAAAAAUUAUUUUCGUCGAUUAUUUCUUACAUAUUAAACUGACAAGUAAAUAUUUUGUAAAUAUCUAUUUACUG